rnacentral:rRNA from 1 species
GACGAACGCUGGCGGCGGGCUUAACACAUGCAAGUCGAACGGAAAGGCCCUGCUUUUGUGGGGUGCUCGAGUGGCGAACGGGUGAGUAACACGUGAGUAACCUGCCCUUGACUUUGGGAUAACUUCAGGAAACUGGGGCUAAUACCGGAUAGGAGCUCCUGUUGCGUUGUGGGGGUGGGAAAGUUUAGGCGGUUGGGGAUGGACGCGCGGCUGAUCAGCUUGUUGGUGGGGUAGUGGCUUACCAAGGCUUUGACGGGUAGCCGGCCUGAGAGGGUGACCGGCCACAUUGGGACUGAGAUACGGCCCAGACUCCUACGGGAGGCAGCAGUGGGGAAUAUUGCACAAUGGGCGGAAGCGUGAUGAAGAAACGCCGCGUGCGGGAUGACGGUCUUCGGGUUGUAAACCGCUUUCGCCUGUGACGAAGCGUGAGUGACGGUAAUGGGUAAAGAAGCACCGGCUAACUACGUG